CUCUGUGGUAGAUAGUGGAGUGUUUCCCAUGUGGUAUUGGUGUGCUGGAUAUCCCUUCACUGGUAGCUUGGUAACAUACACUCCCAGGUCUUUCUCUGUCUCUGUGGUGGAUAGUGGAGUGUUUCCCAUGUGGUAUUGGUGUGCUGGAUAUCCCUUCACUGGUAGCUUGGUAACAUACACUCCCAGGUCUUUCUCUGCCUCUGUGGUGGAUAGUGGAGUGUUUCCCAUGUGGUAUUGGUGUGCUGGAUAUUCCUUCACUGGUAGCCUGGUAACAUACACUCCCAGGUCUUUCUCUGCCUCUGUGGUGGAUAGUGGAGUGUUUCCCAAGUGGUAUUGGUGUGCUGGAUAUCCCUUCACCGGUAGCCUGGUAACAUACACUCCCAGGUCUUUCUCUGCCUCUGUGGUGGAUAGUGGAGUGUUUCCCAAGUGGUAUUGGUGUGCUGGAUAUCCCUUCACUGGUAGCCUGGUAACAUACACUCCCAGGUCUUUCUCUGCCUCUGUGGUGGAUAGUGGAGUGUUUCCCAAGUGGUAUUGGUGUGCUGGAUAUCCCUUCACUGGUAGCCUGGUAACAUACACUCCCAGGUCUUUCUCUGCCUCUGUGGUGGAUAGUGGAGUGUUUCCCUUGUGGUAUUGGUGUGCUGGAUAUCCCUUCACUGGUAGCCUGGUAACAUACACUCCCAGGUCUUUCUCUGCCUCUGUGGUGGAUAGUGGAGUGUUUCCUAUGUGGUAUUGAUGUGCUGGAUAUCCCUUCACUGGUAGCCUGGUAACAUACACUCCCACGUCUUUCUCUGCCUCUGUGGUGGAUAGUGGAGUGUUUCCUAUGUGGUAUUGGUGUGCUGGAUAUCCCUUCACUGGUAGCCUGGUUACAUACACUCCCAGGUCUUUCUCUGCCUUUGUGGUGGAUAGUGGAGUGUUUCCCUUGUGGUAUUGGUGUGCUGGAUAUCCCUUCACUGGUAGCCUGGUAACAUACACUCCCAGGUCUUUCUCUGCCUCUGUGGUGGAUAGUGGAGUGUUUCCCAUGUGGUAUUGGUGUGCUGGAUAUCCCUUCACUGGUAGCUUGGUAACAUACACUCCCAGGUCUUUCUCUGUCUCUGUGGUGGAUAGUGGAGUGUUUCCCAUGUGGUAUUGGUGUGCUGGAUAUCCCUUCACUGGUGGCCUGGUAACAUACACUCCCAAGUCUCUCUCUGCCUCUGUGGUGGAUAGUGGAGUGUUUCCCAUGUGGCAUUGAUGUGCUGGAUAUCCCUUCACUGGUAG